AGCAGCCGCGGUAAUUCCAGCUCCAAUAGCGUAUAUUAAAGUUGUUGCAGUUAAAAAGCUCGUAGUUGAAUUUCGGGGUUAGUAGAUUGGUCAUGCCUCUGGUAUGUACUGGUCUCACUGAUUCCUCCUUCCUGAUGAACCUUAAUGCCAUUAAUUUGGUGUUUUGGGGAAUUUGGACUGUUACUUUGAAAAAAUUAGAGUGUUUAAAGCAAGCUAACGCUUGAAUACAUUAGCAUGGAAUAAUGAAAUAGGACGUUCGAUCCUAUUUUGUUGGUUUCUAGGAUUGACGUAAUGAUUAAUAGGGAUAGUUGGGGGCAUUAGUAUUCAAUUGUCAGAGGUGAAAUUCUUGGAUUUAUUGAAGACUAACUACUGCGAAAGCAUUUGCCAAGGAUGUUUUCAUUAAUCAAGAACGAAAGUUAGGGGAUCGAAGACGAUCAGACACCGUCGUAGUCUUAACCAUAAACUAUGCCGACUAGGGAUCGGAUGAUGUUAAUUUUUUAAUGACUCA
rnacentral:rRNA from 1 species